GAUGAACGCUGGCGGCGUGCCUAAUACAUGCAAGUCGAGCGAACGGACGAGAAGCUUGCUUCUCUGAUGUUAGCGGCGGACGGGUGUGUAACACGUGUAUAACCUACCUAUAAGACUGGGAUAACUUCGGGAAACCGGAUCUAAUACCGGAUAAUAUUUUGAUCCGCAUGGUUCAAAAGUGAAAGACGGUCUUGCUGUCACUUCUAGAUGGAUCCGCGCUGCUUGAGCUAGUUGGUAAGGUAACGGCUUACCAAGGCAACGAUGCAUAGCCGACCUGAGAGGGUGGUCGCCGGCACGAGAACUGAGACGGGCACAAGACUCCUGAGGUAGGCACCAGUAGGGAACCUGCCGCAACGGUGGAAAGCAUGACGGAGCAACGCGGCGUCAGUGAUGAAGAUCUUCGGAUCGUGAAACUCUGUUAUUAGGGGAGAACAUAUGUGUAAUUAACUGUGCACAUCUUGACGGUACCGAGUCAGAAAGCCACGGCUAACUACGUG
rnacentral:rRNA from 1 species